rnacentral:lncRNA from 1 species
ACUCCUGAUUCUGCUUCUACUAAGAUGGGCCUGUUAAACUGAGUAACCCAACGACUGCCCCAUUGCAUCUAAUUGGUAACCAGAUUCAAGUACAGUUUUGUAUUCUGUUAUCAGAAUGUUCUUAACAACAUUUAGGAAAAUUAUGGUCAGAUCUGUUAAAUGCUUGGUGGCUAUGCCUGGAAUGUUCAAACUUGUAAUACGGCCUUUCGUACAGGACUCCUGAACAGCUGUGAGCAAUUUGGAAGACCCUAGGGAGCAUGCUCAGUACAGUGAAUCGGUCUCCAACAAUUACAAAGGCUUCCUGAGUCCUGAGCAACAUACUUAAGAUUCUGUGCAAGGAAGUAAAUAAAGAAAACACAGCUCA